rnacentral:rRNA from 1 species
GACGAACGCUGGCGGCGUGCUUAACACAUGCAAGUCGAACGGAAAGGCCCUUCGGGGUACUCGAGUGGCGAACGGGUGAGUAACACGUGGGUGAUCCGCCCUGCACUUUGGGAUAAGCCUGGGAAACUGGGUCUAAUACCGAAUAGGACCACGCGCUUCAUGGUGUGUGGUGGAAAGCUUUUGCGGUGUGGGAUGGGCCCGCGGCCUAUCAGCUUGUUGGUGGGGUAAUGGCCUACCAAGGCGACGACGGGUAGCCGGCCUGAGAGGGUGACCGGCCACACUGGGACUGAGAUACGGCCCAGACUCCUACGGGAGGCAGCAGUGGGGAAUAUUGCACAAUGGGCGCAAGCCUGAUGCAGCGACGCCGCGUGAGGGAUGACGGCCUUCGGGUUGUAAACCUCUUUCAAUAGGGACGAAGCGCAAGUGACGGUACCUAUAGAAGAAGCACCGGCCAACUACGUG